GGCUUGUCCCUCCCCGCCGCCACUCCUCUCCCACAUCGGGAUCGCCUCCCGAUCCAAAUCCAUCCACUCCCAAAUCCCCCUCGUGUUCAACACCAGACCAACCCACGCCCUCCUUCUCGCGCCUAAGGCCUCCCUUGCACCCCAGUUUUCCCCAACGCCCGUGCCCCGCAGCUGGCUCCGAUCCAGAUCGAGGCGAGCUCGUCCCCGAGCCCAUGGAGACGCCGUUCCCGUCUGCCGACGACGACCGAACCUUCGGAGGAGCCCCGCAGCCAGCGGCCUCAUCUGCGCCAUUCCCAUCAUCGAGACCCCGCCGCCGCCAAGUUCUUUGCCGGGAGCGGCGCCGCCCGGAUCUGGCCGUCUCCGCGCUGUCUGCACCCCGGCCUCGCCAUGGUCGCGCCUCCCUGCUGCCGGAGCCCCACGACCUCGCACCGAGCUCCUGCCGCGUCGCCAUCCAUCAAGUCCGCCGCCCCGCCAAGUCGUUGGAGCCCCCCGUGGCGUCCGAACCCUGCUUCUACAUCUCACUGCUGUCCCGCCGGAGUUCCCUGCCCGUCGACUCUCUAUGCUUCCUUCCCCUGAACCUUCUCUGAACCUCUCUCUCUUUUCUUCAGUCCACAGCAGCAGUCGCUGCAUCCUCUCGCUGGUGAGACGAGCAGAUGAGCCGCGUGCCCCUGCCUCCUUCCCCACACCCGGAUCCGCCGACGUGCCGCCCCGGAGCCCCGCGUCCAAGUCCCGCGCCCCCAUGACCUCGCUGCAGCUCGGCGCCGCCGCAAGUCCACGUCAUCGACGUCCUCUGCUUCCCCUACAACAGAUCGAGCGCCUUGCCCGCCUGCGUUGACUUCGCCUGGGCCGGCCUUGCCUCGGCCUACAUCGGCUCCCGCUGGAUCUCCACCUCGCCCGCGCCUGGGCCUCUUUGCACAAGGCCCAGCGAGCCUCCUCAGCCUACAGCGACCGGCCCAGCCGCCUACCGCAUCCAGCCCAGCACCGAACCGAGCCUUGGCCCAUGUUUGCAGGGCACAGCCUCUCUCCUGUGUUUUGUUUGGGCUAGGUAGUUUCGGCCCGUGACUAUUUUUUUCCCUGCUGCGAAUUUGUCUAAUUUCCCAGAGUUUUGCCAGUUUUAUAGUUUAGCCCCUAAACAUCAUGCAUUUUAUAACUCCCCAACCGUGCAUCGGAUUAAAACAAACUUUGUAUGAAACUUGUUUAGAAUUUUGUCUAGAUUCAUAAUAUUCAACUUUCGUUCAUGUUUGACAUGUUUAAAA